GGGUGAGUAACACGUGGAUAACCUACCUAUAAGACUGGGAUAACUUCGGGAAACCGGAGCUAAUACCGGAUAAUAUUUUGAACCGCAUGGUUCAAAAGUGAAAGACGGUCUUGCUGUCACUUAUAGAUGGAUCCGUGCUGCAUUAGCUAGUUGGUAAGGUAACGGCUUACCAAGGCAACGAUGCAUAGCCGACCUGAGAGGGUGAUCGGCCACACUGGAACUGAGACACGGUCCAG
rnacentral:rRNA from 1 species